rnacentral:siRNA from 1 species
GGCUGGGCCUUUCAUUUCUUAGC